CCUACGGGAGGCAGCAGUGGGGAAUAUUGGACAAUGGACCAAAAGUCUGAUCCAGCAAUUCUGUGUGCACGAUGAAGGUCUUCGGAUCGUAAAGUGCUUUCAGGUGGGAAGAAAAAAAUGACGGUACCACCAGAAGAAGCGACGGCUAAAUACGUGCCAGCAGCCGCGGUAAUACGUAUGUCGCAAGCGUUAUCCGGAAUUAUUGGGCGUAAAGCGCGUCUAGGCGGCCUUUUAAGUCUGAUGUGAAAAUGCGGGGCUCAACUCCGUAUUGCGUUGGAAACUGGAAGGCUAGAGUAUCAGAGAGGUGGGCGGAACUACAAGUGUAGAGGUGAAAUUCGUAGAUAUUUGUAGGAAUGCCGAUUGGGAAGCCAGCUCACUGGAUGAAUACUGACGCUGAAGCGCGAAAGCGUGGGGAGCAAACGGGAUUAGAUACCCCGGUAGUCCACGCCGUAAACGAUGAUCACUAAGUGUGGGGGGUCGAACCUCCGUGCUCAAGCUAACGCGAUAAGUGAUCCGCCUGGGGAGUACGCACGCAAGUGUGAAACUCAAAGGAAUUGACGGA
rnacentral:rRNA from 1 species